ACGGGUGAGUAACACGUGGGUGAUCUACCUUCGAGUGGGGAAUAACGGCGGGAAACUGCUGCUAAUACCGCAUGACAUCCUCGAUUCAUUUCGGGGAUCAAAGCCGGGGACCGCAAGGCCUGGCGCUUGAAGAUGAGCCCGCGUCCGAUUAGCUAGUAGGCGGGGUAACGGCCCACCUAGGCGACGAUCGGUAGCCGGCCUGAGAGGGCGGACGGCCACAAUGGGACUGAGACACGGCCCAUACUCCUACGGGAGGCAGCAGUGGGGAAUUUUUCGCAAUGGGGGAAACCCUGACGAAGCAACGCCGCGUGGAGGAUGAAGGCCUUCGGGUCGUAAACUCCUGUCGACCGGGAAGAAAGCACAGCGGCCUAAUACGCCGCGGUGUUGACUGUACCGGUGGAGGAAGCCACGGCUAACUCUGUGCCAGCAGCCGCGGUAAUACAGAGGUGGCAAGCGUUGUUCGGAAUUACUGGGCGUAAAGGGCGCGUAGGCGGUUUGCCAAGUCCCGUGUGAAAGCCCUCGGCUCAACCGAGGAACGGCACGGGAAACUAGCAGGCUUGAGUUCGGGAGAGGGAAGCGGAAUUC
rnacentral:rRNA from 1 species